rnacentral:misc_RNA from 1 species
GUUGCGACCCGACCUGAAUGAAGCUCUUUUUGCGAGGAGGCACGACGAACAAAAAAGCGGGAAUGGAGGGCGGAAAAGUCG